AUGGCGACACUGAUUGGGCAUCUUAUCCUGUUCUUGUGGCUGCAGCUGAACUGUGUGAGCAGAGCAGAGCAGCUGGAACAGCCUUCUCUCCUGAGUGUCCAGGAGGGAGGCAGCGCCGUUAUCAACUGCACCUACACAGACAGUGCCAAUUAUUACUUCUCCUGGUACAAGCAAGAGCCUGGGGCAGAUCUCCAGUUCCUUUUAAGUAUUCUUUCAAAUGUGGACAGGAAAGAAGAACAAGGACUCACUGUCCUACUGAAUAAGGAGGACAAACGUCUCUCCCUGAACAUCACAGCUGCUCAUAUUAAGGACUCAGCCACAUACUUCUGUGCAACAAGUGCACAGUGA